UACGUAGGGUGCAGGCGUUAAUCGGAAUUCCUGGGCGUAAAGCGUGCGCAGGCGGUUUGCUAAGACAGGUGUGAAAUCCCCGGGCUUAACCUGGGAACUGCGCUUGUAACUGGCAAGCUAGAGUGUGGCAGAGGGGGGUGGAAUUCCACGUGUAGCAGUGAAAUGCGUAGAGAUGUGGAGGAACACCGAUGGCGAAGGCAGCCCCCUGGGCUAACACUGACGCUCAUGCACGAAAGCGUGGGGAGCAAACAGG
rnacentral:rRNA from 1 species